rnacentral:rRNA from 1 species
UACGUAGGGUGCGAGCGUUAAUCGGAAUUACUGGGCGUAAAGGGCCAGUAGGCGGCCAACUAAGUCGGAUGUGAAAUCCCCAGGCUCAACUUGGGAACUGCAUCCGAUACUGGAUGGCUUGAAUUCGGGAGAGGGAUGCAGAAUUCCAGGUGUAGCGGUGAAAUGCGUAGAUAUCUGGAGGAAUACCGGUGGCGAAGGCGGCAUCCUGGACCGACAUUGACGCUGAACGGCGAAAGCUAGGGGAGCAAACGGG